rnacentral:rRNA from 1 species
GGCUUAGAAGCAGCCACUCAUUUAAAGAGUGCGUAAUAGCUCACUAGUCGAGUGAUUGUGCGCCGAAAAUGUAACGGGGCUAAAAUUCAUACCGAAGCUUAGGCUUUGCACACUUUGUGUGCGAGGGGUAGAUGAGCGUUGUGUAAGUCUGCGAAGCUACACCGAAAGGAGUAGUGGAGAUAUCACAAGUGAGAAUGCCGGAAUGAGUAGCGAGAAUUAUGUGAGAAUCAUAAUGGUCGAAAAUCUAAGGUUUCUUGAGGAAGGUUCGUCCGCUCAAGGUAAGCCGGGAGCUAAGGCGAGGCCGAGAGGCGUAGUCGAUGCACAUACGGUAAAGAUUCCGUAGCCACCGAAGUCGUUAAAUACAGGGACACAGGAACAUAGCCUAACCCCACCGUUGGUUGAGUGGGGCGUAAGGGAGCGAAAAAUAGUAGCGAAGUAGGUGAUUGUACACUGGCGAGAAAAGCUGUAUGUAUUGAUAAGGUGCCCGUACCGCAAACCGACACAGGUAGAUGAGGAGAGAAUCCUAAGACCAGCGGGAGAAGUGUUGUUAAGGAACUCGGCAAAAUGACCCCGUAACUUCGGGAUAAGGGGAGCCUACGCGAGUAGGCCGCAGAGAAUAGUCUCAAGCGACUGUUUAGCAAAAACACAGGUCUAUGCUAAAUCGAAAGAUGAUGUAUAUGGGCUGACGCCUGCCCGGUGCUGGAAGGUUAAGGGGAAGUGUUAGAGCAAUCGAAGCACUGAACUUAAGCCCCAGUAAACGGCGGCCGUAACUAUAACGGUCCUAAGGUAGCGAAAUUCCUUGUCAGGUAAGUUCUGACCCGCACGAAUGGCGUAACGACUUGAGAGCUGUCUCAACAACAUACCCGGCGAAAUUGAAGUACUGGUAAAGAUGCCAGUUACCCGUGAUAAGACGGAAAGACCCCAUGGAGCUUUACUGUAACUUGAUAUUGAAUUUUUGUAUUACAUGUACAGGAUAGGUGGGAGACAGAGAACUAAUGCCGCCAGGUGUUAGGGAGUCGAUGUUGGGAUACCACUCUUGUAAUAUGAAGGUUCUAACCUGCACCCGUGAAUCCGGGUGGGGGACACUGUCAGGUGGACAGUUUGACUGGGGCGGUCGCCUCCUAAAAGGUAACGGAGGCGUUCAAAGGUUGGUUCAGCACGGACGGAAAUCGUGCAACGAGUGCAAACGCAUAAACCAGCCUAACUGCGAGACCGACAAGUCGAGCAGUAACGAAAGUUGGAGUUAGUGAUCCGGCGGUAUGAGAGUGGAAUUGCCGUCGCUCAACGGAUAAAAGCUACCCUGGGGAUAACAGGCUGAUCUCCCCCAAGAGUCCACAUCGACGGGGAGGUUUGGCACCUCGAUGUCGGCUCAUCGCAUCCUGGAGCUGUAGUCGGUUCCAAGGGUUGGGCUGUUCGCCCAUUAAAGCGGUACGCGAGCUGGGUUCAGAACGU